UACGUAGGGGGCAAGCGUUAUCCGGAUUUACUGGGUGUAAAGGGAGCGUAGACGGCAAAGCAAGUCUGAAGUGAAAGCCCGGGGCUCAACCCCGGGACUGCUUUGGAAACUGCUUGGCUAGAGUGCAGGAGAGGUAAGUGGAAUUCCUAGUGUAGCGGUGAAAUGCGUAGAUAUUAGGAGGAACACCAGUGGCGAAGGCGACUUACUGGACUGUAACUGACGUUGAGGCUCGAAAGCGUGGGGAGCAAAC
rnacentral:rRNA from 1 species